GUUAGCUCAGCCGGUAGAGCAGUUGACUCAUAAUCGCUUGGUCGCUGGUUCAAGUCCAGCAGGGGCCACCA
rnacentral:tRNA from 1 species